rnacentral:rRNA from 1 species
GGUUAAGCGACUAAGCGUACACGGUGGAUGCCCUGGCAGUCAGAGGCGAUGAAGGACGUGCUAAUCUGCGAUAAGCGUCGGUAAGGUGAUAUGAACCGUUAUAACCGGCGAUUUCCGAAUGGGGAAACCCAGUGUGAUUCGUCACACUAUCAUUAACUGAAUCCAUAGGUUAAUGAGGCGAACCGGGGGAACUGAAACAUCUAAGUACCCCGAGGAAAAGAAAUCAACCGAGAUUCCCCCAGUAGCGGCGAGCGAACGGGGAGGAGCCCAGAGCCUGAAUCAGUGUGUGUGUUAGUGGAAGCGUCUGGAAAGGCGCGCGAUACAGGGUGACAGCCCCGUACACAAAAAUGCACAUGCUGUGAGCUCGAUGAGUAGGGCGGGACACGUGGUAUCCUGUCUGAAUAUGGGGGGACCAUCCUCCAAGGCUAAAUACUCCUGACUGACCGAUAGUGAACCAGUACCGUGAGGGAAAGGCGAAAAGAACCCCGGCGAGGGGAGUGAAAAAGAACCUGAAACCGUGUACGUACAAGCAGUGGGAGCACGCUUAGGCGUGUGACUGCGUACCUUUUGUAUAAUGGGUCAGCGACUUAUAUUCUGUAGCAAGGUUAACCGAAUAGGGGAGCCGAAGGGAAACCGAGUCUUAACUGGGCGUUAAGUUGCAGGGUAUAGACCCGAAACCCGGUGAUCUAGCCAUGGGCAGGUUGAAGGUUGGGUAACACUAACUGGAGGACCGAACCGACUAAUGUUGAAAAAUUAGCGGAUGACUUGUGGCUGGGGGUGAAAGGCCAAUCAAACCGGGAGAUAGCUGGUUCUCCCCGAAAGCUAUUUAGGUAGCGCCUCGUGAAUUCAUCUCCGGGGGUAGAGCACUGUUUCGGCAAGGGGGUCAUCCCGACUUACCAACCCGAUGCAAACUGCGAAUACCGGAGAAUGUUAUCACGGGAGACACACGGCGGGUGCUAACGUCCGUCGUGAAGAGGGAAACAACCCAGACCGCCAGCUAAGGUCCCAAAGUCAUGGUUAAGUGGGAAACGAUGUGGGAAGGCCCAGACAGCCAGGAUGUUGGCUUAGAAGCAGCCAUCAUUUAAAGAAAGCGUAAUAGCUCACUGGUCGAGUCGGCCUGCGCGGAAGAUGUAACGGGGCUAAACCAUGCACCGAAGCUGCGGCAGCGACGCUUAUGCGUUGUUGGGUAGGGGAGCGUUCUGUAAGCCUGCGAAGGUGUGCUGUGAGGCAUGCUGGAGGUAUCAGAAGUGCGAAUGCUGACAUAAGUAACGAUAAAGCGGGUGAAAAGCCCGCUCGCCGGAAGACCAAGGGUUCCUGUCCAACGUUAAUCGGGGCAGGGUGAGUCGACCCCUAAGGCGAGGCCGAAAGGCGUAGUCGAUGGGAAACAGGUUAAUAUUCCUGUACUUGGUGUUACUGCGAAGGGGGGACGGAGAAGGCUAUGUUGGCCGGGCGACGGUUGUCCCGGUUUAAGCGUGUAGGCUGGUUUUCCAGGCAAAUCCGGAAAAUCAAGGCUGAGGCGUGAUGACGAGGCACUACGGUGCUGAAGCAACAAAUGCCCUGCUUCCAGGAAAAGCCUCUAAGCAUCAGGUAACAUCAAAUCGUACCCCAAACCGACACAGGUGGUCAGGUAGAGAAUACCAAGGCGCUUGAGAGAACUCGGGUGAAGGAACUAGGCAAAAUGGUGCCGUAACUUCGGGAGAAGGCACGCUGAUAUGUAGGUGAAGUCCCUCGCGGAUGGAGCUGAAAUCAGUCGAAGAUACCAGCUGGCUGCAACUGUUUAUUAAAAACACAGCACUGUGCAAACACGAAAGUGGACGUAUACGGUGUGACGCCUGCCCGGUGCCGGAAGGUUAAUUGAUGGGGUUAGCGCAAGCGAAGCUCUUGAUCGAAGCCCCGGUAAACGGCGGCCGUAACUAUAACGGUCCUAAGGUAGCGAAAUUCCUUGUCGGGUAAGUUCCGACCUGCACGAAUGGCGUAAUGAUGGCCAGGCUGUCUCCACCCGAGACUCAGUGAAAUUGAACUCGCUGUGAAGAUGCAGUGUACCCGCGGCAAGACGGAAAGACCCCGUGAACCUUUACUAUAGCUUGACACUGAACAUUGAGCCUUGAUGUGUAGGAUAGGUGGGAGGCUUUGAAGUGUGGACGCCAGUCUGCAUGGAGCCGACCUUGAAAUACCACCCUUUAAUGUUUGAUGUUCUAACGUUGACCCGUGAUCCGGGUUGCGGACAGUGUCUGGUGGGUAGUUUGACUGGGGCGGUCUCCUCCUAAAGAGUAACGGAGGAGCACGAAGGUUGGCUAAUCCUGGUCGGACAUCAGGAGGUUAGUGCAAUGGCAUAAGCCAGCUUGACUGCGAGCGUGACGGCGCGAGCAGGUGCGAAAGCAGGUCAUAGUGAUCCGGUGGUUCUGAAUGGAAGGGCCAUCGCUCAACGGAUAAAAGGUACUCCGGGGAUAACAGGCUGAUACCGCCCAAGAGUUCAUAUCGACGGCGGUGUUUGGCACCUCGAUGUCGGCUCAUCACAUCCUGGGGCUGAAGUAGGUCCCAAGGGUAUGGCUGUUCGCCAUUUAAAGUGGUACGCGAGCUGGGUUUAGAACGUCGUGAGACAGUUCGGUCCCUAUCUGCCGUGGGCGCUGGAGAACUGAGGGGGGCUGCUCCUAGUACGAGAGGACCGGAGUGGACGCAUCACUGGUGUUCGGGUUGUCAUGCCAAUGGCACUGCCCGGUAGCUAAAUGCGGAAGAGAUAAGUGCUGAAAGCAUCUAAGCACGAAACUUGCCCCGAGAUGAGUUCUCCCUGACUCCUUGAGAGUCCUGAAGGAACGUUGAAGACGACGACGUUGAUAGGCCGGAUGUGUAAGCGCAGCGAUGCGUUGAGCUAACCGGUACUAAUGAACCGUGAGGCUUAACCUU